ensembl:snRNA U6 U6 spliceosomal RNA
GUGCUCUCUUUGACAGCUCAUACACUACAAUUGGAACAAUACAGAGAAGAUUAACAUGGCCCUUGCACAAAGGAUGACACACAAAUUUGUGAAGCGUUCCAUAUAUUU